AGUGGGGAAUAUUGGACAAUGGGCGAAAGCCUGAUCCAGCCAUGCCGCGUGAGUGAUGAAGGCCCUAGGGUUGUAAAGCUCUUUCAACGGUGAAGAUAAUGACGGUAACCGUAGAAGAAGCCCCGGCUAACUUCGUGCCAGCAGCCGCGGUAAUACGAAGGGGGCUAGCGUUGUUCGGAAUUACUGGGCGUAAAGCGCACGUAGGCGGACUAUUAAGUCAGGGGUGAAAUCCCGGAGCUCAACCCCGGAACUGCCUUUGAUACUGGUAGUCUAGAGUCCGAGAGAGGUGAGUGGAAUUCCGAGUGUAGAGGUGAAAUUCGUAGAUAUUCGGAGGAACACCAGUGGCGAAGGCGGCUCACUGGCUCGGUACUGACGCUGAGGUGCGAAAGCGUGGGGAGCAAA
rnacentral:rRNA from 1 species